rnacentral:rRNA from 1 species
UUGCUCCUUUGACGUUAGCGGCGGACGGGUGAGUAACACGUGGAUAACCUACCUAUAAGACUGGGAUAACUUCGGGAAACCGGAGCUAAUACCGGAUAAGAUUUUGAACCGCAUGGUUCAAUAGUGAAAGACGGCCUUGCUGUCACUUAUAGAUGGAUCCGCGCCGUAUUAGCUAGUUGGUAAGGUAACGGCUUACCAAGGCAACGAUACGUAGCCGACCUGAGAGGGUGAUCGGCCACACUGGAACUGAGACACGGUCCAGACUCCUACGGGAGGCAGCAGUAGGGAAUCUUCCGCAAUGGGCGAAAGCCUGACGGAGCAACGCCGCGUGAGUGAUGAAGGUCUUCGGAUCGUAAAACUCUGUUAUCAGGGAAGAACAAACGUGUAAGUAACUGUGCACGUCUUGACGGUACCUGAUCAGAAAGCCACGGCUAACUACGUGCCAGCAGCCGCGGUAAUACGUAGGUGGCAAGCGUUAUCCGGAAUUAUUGGGCGUAAAGCGCGCGUAGGCGGUUUUUUAAGUCUGAUGUGAAAGCCCACGGCUCAACCGUGGAGGGUCAUUGGAAACUGGAAAACUUGAGUGCAGAAGAGGAAAGUGGAAUUCCAUGUGUAGCGGUGAAAUGCGCAGAGAUAUGGAGGAACACCAGUGGCGAAGGCGACUUUCUGGUCUGUAACUGACGCUGAUGCGCGAAAGCGUGGGGAUCAAACAGGAUUAGAUACCCUGGUAGUCCACGCCGUAAACGAUGAGUGCUAAGUGUUAGGGGGUUUCCGCCC